AUUUACGCGCUGAAUUUAACAUUGGAGUCUAUGGGUUGCGCGCCGAAUGCAGUUUCAGCGCCUAAAGCACGAUGAAGCGUUGUCAGCUGAUUAUUCAUCGGCUGGUCGGCGCUGAAUUACUCGCGUAUUCGACGCUCACGAGUUGAAAUAUUCCAACUUUUCAGCGCGUCCUUGACGCGCAUACGCCGCGGCGUUUUUAUCAUCAAUCGGGUGUUUUGUUGAUAUUUAAAACAUUUGAAAAGCAUUUUUGAGAUGAGGUUAGUGUUGCUAAUAUUUUGAGUGUGGCAGUGUGUGUGUUCUGUGUUUCAUCAUCUUCCUACAUCUCCAGAAUAGCAUUAAAUGAGCUGGUAAGCUCUACAAGUGACACCACCUUAGUUGAAGCCGUGAGACGUCAUGACGUGCUCUGGCGUCCUCAGGACAGCAACUACUUUAACAGAAAUAAGAAGAAGCUAGCAUGGGAGGAGGUGGCAAAGACCACUGGGAGAUCAGUUCAGGAUGCAAAAUCGAAAUGGAAAAGUCUGCGUGACUACCACCUACGCAAACGCAGGCAAUUGCCAAGUGGCUCUGGCUGCCCGCCACCAGAGAACUCCUCCUGGCAAAAGGAAAUGUCAUUUUUGGAUGAUGCCAUCAAGCCUAAACCCUUUGUGUGUCUGAUGAGGACAGCAGCGAGACUCAACUACCAGACGACAGUGCUGCAGCGAGCUGUGCCUCAGGAGUCCUCCCAGUUGCGACGCUCCUCGGAGGGCCUCGGAUGUCCGCGGUGCCACCAGCAGCGAGCUGUGCAGUCAGUUCAGGAGUCCUCCCAGCUGCGACGCUCCUCGGAACGCCUCGGGUGUCCGCGGUGCCACCAGCAGCGAGCUGUGUCGCCGGCCCGAGCCAUCCGCGCUCUUCUGGCACCAACGGCCAAGUCAAGCAGGUCAGGGGGCCGGGUGCUCGUGGCGCCGAGAAGCUUGACGCCGCCAUAGCGUCCAUAGAACGCGCGGUGAGCGACCUCCGUAACCCGGACCUACUAUUUGGUCAGCUGGUGGGGUUGGAGAUGGAGCGUGUGAGGGACGACAAGAAAGCGGAUGCGAGACUGGAGAUUCUUACAGUCUUGAAAAGGGCGCAGUCCGAUUAAAAGCAGGUGAUAACCUUCGCACGGGUGGGGGAGGGGGGACGUUUUUCACACAUAUUUGAUAAAAAAUGACCAGAAUGAUUCAAAACGAUCUUAUAGCCAGACAUGUGCAUGGAUCCGAGAGGUGGAUCUAUGAUCUGAGCGGAUCUCUCGAGCUUAUGGGUAAGAUCUAUGAUCUGAGUGGAUCUCUCGACACAGUUGAGGGGUUGGAUCUAUGAUCUGAGUGGAUCUCUCGACAAAGUUGAGGGGUUGGAUCUAUGAUCCGGGUGGAUCCCAGAUCUAGAUUCAUGGGAUCGAAUUUCAGAUCCAUUUUCCCGGAUCCAUGCACAUGUCUGCUUAUAGCGAGCUAUAUAAUGCCUGUUCGGCGUCUUUCCAGCUUCCUUUGAUUCUGAGAUAAUGUGAUGCGGCCAAAUGCGUCCCCUCUCCAUGCAACCUCCACCAUGGCGAACUUUGCUGAGCCUGAGUCAUAUUCUGCGUAGUGUGUAUUUCCGCAGUCUGAUCGCUAUAGCGACCCUUUUUCAAGUUUUGAUUUAGGAGUGAAUUCGUUUACCUGGUGUUUAAAUGUUUGAGCUCCUUUGCUGUGAAGUUGAAGUUGGACGUUACGUGGUUAUCUGACUUUGGUUGUUGGAAAGGGCGACAGUUAAUGUUAUUUAUUUCCACUACUUUCGCGUGCAAUAAACGACAAAGGCCGGAAA
rnacentral:misc_RNA from 1 species